rnacentral:ncRNA from 2 species
GCGCCCACAGGAGAUGGCGUUCCUCCUUCAACCACUGUGCCGACGGCGCAGUUGAUGACGCCUACAGACAC